CCAGACUCCUACGGGAGGCAGCAGUCGAGAAUCAUUCACAAUGGGGGAAACCCUGAUGCAGCGACGCCGCGUGGGCGAAGAAGUAUUUCGGUAUGUAAAGCUCUAUCAGCAGGGAAGAAGAUGACGGUACCUGACUAAGAAGCCCCGGCUAACUACGUGCCAGCAGCCGCGGUAAUACGUAGGGGGCAAGCGUUAUCCGGAUUUACUGGGUGUAAAGGGAGCGUAGACGGCGCGGCAAGUCUGAAGUGAAAGGCAGGGGCUUAACCCCUGAACUGCUUUGGAAACUGCCAUGCUAGAGUGCUGGAGAGGUAAGUGGAAUUCCUAGUGUAGCGGUGAAAUGCGUAGAUAUUAGGAAGAACACCAGUGGCGAAGGCGGCUUUCUGGACUGAAACUGACGCUGAGGCACGAAAGCGUGGGGAGCGAACAGGAUUAGAUACCCUUGUAU
rnacentral:rRNA from 1 species